CGUUUGAUUAUUUUUUUUCAUUUUUCUCGGAAAAAAGUUCCCCGUAUAUUUUGCCGUAUUUCCCAUAAGCUCUACUUUUGCAUCCGCUUUCGGCAACGGGGGCAUGUGCGCUUUGACAUGAUGGUUUGCGAGAUGCUGCAAGCGGCUUUCGUUUCCCUUUAUUCUCCUCCCCUUUCGCAGAGAGAGCGUGUGGCGGUAAAUAAAAAAGGGAAAAAAACUUCUCCGAUAAUUUGGAGUAUAUUGCUAAAAGUGCUUACCUUUGCAUCCGCUUUCCCUUAGAGGUCAGCGCCGUCGAUCUUUGAACAGAUUUACAUAAACAAUACAAGUAGUACAAGAUCAAGAUUCGUUUUCCGUUCAUUCGGAAGGCGUUCUUGGGUAAAACAGAAGAACCGUCAAUGCCCCCUUGCUUAUUCGCUCGGGGGAUUGAACAUUGAGACUUCUUUAGAAUUUCGGAUGUCCUGAACAGAGCAACAUGCCCUCCUUUUUCCCAUUUUCUUCGGGAUUUGGGUUUAAGUGAGAGCACACGAUACUUUUACAAUGAAGAGUUUGAUCCUGGCUCAGGAUGAACGCUAGCUACAGGCUUAACACAUGCAAGUCGAGGGGCAGCAUGGACUUAGCUUGCUAAGUCCGAUGGCGACCGGCGCACGGGUGAGUAACACGUAUCCAACCUUCCGGUUACUCCGGUAUAGCCUUUCGAAAGAAAGAUUAAUCCCGGAUAGUAUGGUGAUUCCGCAUGGUUUCUCCAUUAAAGGAUUCCGGUAACCGAUGGGGAUGCGUUCCAUUAGGCGGUUGGCGGGGUAACGGCCCACCAAACCUACGAUGGAUAGGGGUUCUGAGAGGAAGGUCCCCCACAUUGGAACUGAGACACGGUCCAAACUCCUACGGGAGGCAGCAGUGAGGAAUAUUGGUCAAUGGGCGUAAGCCUGAACCAGCCAAGUAGCGUGAAGGAUGACUGCCCUAUGGGUUGUAAACUUCUUUUAUAAGGGAAUAAAUUGAGGCACGCGUGCCUUUUUGCAUGUACCUUAUGAAUAAGGAUCGGCUAACUCCGUGCCAGCAGCCGCGGUAAUACGGAGGAUCCGAGCGUUAUCCGGAUUUAUUGGGUUUAAAGGGAGCGUAGGCGGGCGCUUAAGUCAGCUGUGAAAGUUUGGGGCUCAACCUUAAAAUUGCAGUUGAUACUGGGCGUCUUGAGUGCGGCACAGGCAGGCGGAAUUCGUGGUGUAGCGGUGAAAUGCUUAGAUAUCACGAGGAACUCCGUUCGCGAAGGCGGCUUGCCGGACCGUAACUGACGCUGAUGCUCGAAAGUGUGGGUAUCAAACAGGAUUAGAUACCCUGGUAGUCCACACGGUAAACGAUGAAUACUCGCUGUUUGCGAUAUACAGUAAGCGGCCAAGCGAAAGCGUUAAGUAUUCCACCUGGGGAGUACGCCGGCAACGGUGAAACUCAAAGGAAUUGACGGGGGCCCGCACAAGCGGAGGAACAUGUGGUUUAAUUCGAUGAUACGCGAGGAACCUUACCCGGGCUUGAAUUGCAACCGAAUUACCUUGAAAGGGGUAAGCCGCAAGGCGGUUGUGAAGGUGCUGCAUGGUUGUCGUCAGCUCGUGCCGUGAGGUGUCGGCUUAAGUGCCAUAACGAGCGCAACCCUUAUCGACAGUUACCAUCGGGUCAUGCCGGGGACUCUGUCGAGACUGCCGUCGUAAGAUGCGAGGAAGGGGGGGAUGACGUCAAAUCAGCACGGCCCUUACGUCCGGGGCUACACACGUGUUACAAUGGGGGGUACAGCAAGCCGCCCGGCGGCGACGCCCGGCCAAUCCUAAAAACCCCUCUCAGUUCGGACUGGAGUCUGCAACCCGACUCCACGAAGCUGGAUUCGCUAGUAAUCGCGCAUCAGCCACGGCGCGGUGAAUACGUUCCCGGGCCUUGUACACACCGCCCGUCAAGCCAUGAAAGCCGGGGGUACCUGAAGUGCGUAACCGUAAAGGAGCGCCCUAGGGUAAAACCGGUGAUUGGGGCUAAGUCGUAACAAGGUAGCCGUACCGGAAGGUGCGGCUGGAACACCUCCUUUCU
rnacentral:rRNA from 1 species